rnacentral:rRNA from 1 species
CCUUUAAAGAAAGCGUAAUAGCUCACUAGUCGAGUCGGCCUGCGCGGAAGAUGUAACGGGGCUCAAACCACACACCGAAGCUGCGGGUGUCACGUAAGUGACGCGGUAGAGGAGCGUUCUGUAAGCCUGUGAAGGUGAGUUGAGAAGCUUGCUGGAGGUAUCAGAAGUGCGAAUGCUGACAUGAGUAACGACAAUGGGUGUGAAAAACACCCACGCCGAAAGACCAAGGGUUCCUGCGCAACGUUAAUCGACGCAGGGUUAGUCGGUUCCUAAGGCGAGGCUGAAAAGCGUAGUCGAUGGGAAACAGGUUAAUAUUCCUGUACUUCUGGUUACUGCGAUGGAGGGACGGAGAAGGCUAGGCCAGCUUGGCGUUGGUUGUCCAAGUUUAAGGUGGUAGGCUGAAAUCUUAGGUAAAUCCGGGGUUUCAAGGCCGAGAGCUGAUGACGAGUCGUCUUUUAGAUGACGAAGUGGUUGAUGCCAUGCUUCCAAGAAAAGCUUCUAAGCUUCAGGUAACCAGGAACCGUACCCCAAACCGACACAGGUGGUCGGGUAGAGAAUACCAAGGCGCUUGAGAGAACUCGGGUGAAGGAACUAGGCAAAAUGGCACCGUAACUUCGGGAGAAGGUGCGCCGGCUAGGGUGAAGGAUUUACUCCGUAAGCUCUGGCUGGUCGAAGAUACCAGGCCGCUGCGACUGUUUAUUAAAAACACAGCACUCUGCAAACACGAAAGUGGACGUAUAGGGUGUGACGCCUGCCCGGUGCCGGAAGGUUAAUUGAUGGGGUUAGCGCAAGCGAAGCUCUUGAUCGAAGCCCCGGUAAACGGCGGCCGUAACUAUAACGGUCCUAAGGUAGCGAAAUUCCUUGUCGGGUAAGUUCCGACCUGCACGAAUGGCGUAACGAUGGCGGCGCUGUCUCCACCCGAGACUCAGUGAAAUUGAAAUCGCUGUGAAGAUGCAGUGUAUCCGCGGCUAGACGGAAAGACCCCGUGAACCUUUACUGUAGCUUUGCACUGGACUUUGAGCCUGCUUGUGUAGGAUAGGUGGGAGGCUUUGAAGCGUGGACGCCAGUUCGCGUGGAGCCAUCCUUGAAAUACCACCCUGGCAUGCUUGAGGUUCUAACUCUGGUCCGUGAUCCGGAUCGAGGACAGUGUAUGGUGGGCAGUUUGACUGGGGCGGUCUCCUCCUAAAGAGUAACGGAGGAGUACGAAGGUGCGCUCAGACCGGUCGGAAAUCGGUCGCAGAGUAUAAAGGCAAAAGCGCGCUUGACUGCGAGACAGACACGUCGAGCAGGUACGAAAGUAGGUCUUAGUGAUCCGGUGGUUCUGUAUGGAAGGGCCAUCGCUCAACGGAUAAAAGGUACUCCGGGGAUAACAGGCUGAUACCGCCCAAGAGUUCAUAUCGACGGCGGUGUUUGGCACCUCGAUGUCGGCUCAUCACAUCCUGGGGCUGAAGCCGGUCCCAAGGGUAUGGCUGUUCGCCAUUUAAAGUGGUACGCGAGCUGGGUUUAGAACGUCGUGAGACAGUUCGGUCCCUAUCUGCCGUGGACGUUUGAGAUUUGAGAGGGGCUGCUCCUAGUACGAGAGGACCGGAGUGGACGAACCUCUGGUGUUCCGGUUGUCACGCCAGUGGCAUUGCCGGGUAGCUAUGUUCGGAAAAGAUAACCGCUGAAAGCAUCUAAGCGGGAAACUUGCCUCAAGAUGAGAUCUCACUGGGAACUUGAUUCCCCUGAAGGGCCGUCGAAGACUACGACGUUGAUAGGCUGGGUGUGUAAGCGUUGUGAGGCGUUGAGCUAACCAGUACUAAUUGCCCGUGAGGCUUGACCAU